AGUGAACGCUGGCGGUAGGCCUAACACAUGCAAGUCGAACGGCAGCACAGUAAGAGCUUGCUCUUACGGGUGGCGAGUGGCGGACGGGUGAGGAAUACAUCGGAAUCUACUUUUUCGUGGGGGAUAACGUAGGGAAACUUACGCUAAUACCGCAUACGACCUACGGGUGAAAGCAGGGGAUCUUCGGACCUUGCGCGAUUGAAUGAGCCGAUGUCGGAUUAGCUAGUUGGCGGGGUAAAGGCCCACCAAGGCGACGAUCCGUAGCUGGUCUGAGAGGAUGAUCAGCCACACUGGAACUGAGGCACGGUCCAGACUCCUACGGGAGGCAGCAGUGGGGAAUAUUGGACAAUGGGCGCAAGCCUGAUCCAGCCAUACCGCGUGGGUGAAGAAGGCCUUCGGGUUGUAAAGCCCUUUUGUUGGGAAAGAAAAGCAGCAGGUUAAUACCCCGCUGUUCUGACGGUACCCAAAGAAUAAGCACCGGCUAACCUCGUG
rnacentral:rRNA from 1 species